AUAGGUCAGAUUUGUCACAUAUUAUCAAAUUAAUUGUUUAAGAUUAUUUUGAGGUCACAAAUCAAAAAGAUUAUAGGUUACAGUUUAUUUUAUUUGUCACAAAUAAAAAAAUAUAGGUCACAAUUUAUCUAUCAAUCACAUAUUUUCAAAUUUGUUAGUCACAUUAUUUUUAGUCAUAUAUUAUCAAAUUUUAGGUUACAAUUCAAUUUCAAGUUCAAGCUUGCUUGCAUUCUGAUGAGAUUAGGC
rnacentral:lncRNA from 1 species